GAUCAUGGCUCAGAACGAACGCUGGCGGCGUGGAUAAGACAUGCAAGUCGAACGAGAGAAUUGCUAGCUUGCUAAUAAUUCUCUAGUGGCGCACGGGUGAGUAACACGUGAGUAACCUGCCCCCGAGAGCGGGAUAGCCCUGGGAAACUGGGAUUAAUACCGCAUAGUAUCGAAAGAUUAAAGCAGCAAUGCGCUUGGGGAUGGGCUCGCGGCCUAUUAGUUAGUUGGUAG
rnacentral:rRNA from 1 species